rnacentral:rRNA from 1 species
CAUGAUUUAGCCAGUAUCCCCAAGCAAAGAGACCUUUAGUUUGAUACCCCGAAACCAGGUGAGCUACCCCGAGACAGCCUAUAUUAGUUUAGGGCUAACCCGUCUCUGUGGCAAAAGAGUGGGAAGAGCUCCGGGUAGAAGUGAAAGACCUACCGAACCUGGUGAUAGCUGGUUGACUGAGAAAUGGAUAGAAGUUCAGCCUCGCACACCCCAAACCAAAAAAUAUUAUUACAAGAUAUUAAGGGAAACGUGCGAGAGUUAGUUGAAAGGGGUACAGCCCUUUUAACAAAGGAUACAACCUUUACAGGAGGAUAAAGAUCAUAAUGUAUAAGAUAUACUGUUCUAGUGGGCCUGAAAGCAGCCACCUAAGCAGAAAGCGUUAAAGCUCGGACAGAAAGAAGUUUAUUAUACUGAUAGAAAAUCUUAUUCCCCUAGCGAUAUCAGACCAACCCAUGCCUCCAUGGAAGAGAUUAUGCUAAAAUGAGUAAUAAGAAGACCCGCUCUUCUCCCAGCACAAGUGUAGACCAGAUCGGACUGACCACUGGAACUUAACGAACCCAACCCCAGAGGGUAGUGUGAUUAACAAAAAACUCAAGAAGACCUCACAUAAUUGAUCGUUAACCCCACACUGGAGUGCUAUUUUAAGGGAAAGACUAAAAGAAGGGGAAGGAACUCGGCAAACACAAGCCUCGCCUGUUUACCAAAAACAUCGCCUCCUGCAACUAAACUGAGUAUAGGAGGUCCAGCCUGCCCAGUGACUACGGGUUCAACGGCCGCGGUAUCUUGACCGUGCAAAGGUAGCGCAAUCACUUGUCUCUUAAAUAGAGACCUGUAUGAAUGGCUAGACGAGGGCUUAACUGUCUCCCUCUUCCAGUCAGUGAAAUUGAUCUAUCCGUGCAGAAGCGGGUAUAAAUAUACAAGACGAGAAGACCCUUUGGAGCUUAAGGUACAAAAUUCAGCCACGUUAAACAACUCUAUAAGAAGCAAGAACUUAAUGAUAAUGAAAUUUUACCUUCGGUUGGGGCGACCGCGGAGGAAAAACAAGCCUCCGAGUGGACUGGGCCAAAUCCCUGAAGCCAAUAGAGACAUCUAUAAGCCGCAGAACAUCUGACCAAAAAUGAUCCGGCUAAAAGCCGAUCAACGGACCAAGUUACCCAAGGGAUAACAGCGCAAUCCCCUCCCAGAGCCCAUAUCUACGAGGGGGUUUACGACCUCGAUGUUGGAUCAGGACAUCCUAAUGGUGCAGCCGCUAUUAAGGGUUCGUUUGUUCAACGAUUAAAGUCC